rnacentral:rRNA from 1 species
AGUGAACGCUGGCGGUAGGCCUAACACAUGCAAGUCGAACGGCAGCACAGUAAGAGCUUGCUCUUACGGGUGGCGAGUGGCGGACGGGUGAGGAAUACAUCGGACUCUACUUUUUCGUGGGGGAUAACGUAGGGAAACUUACGCUCAUACCGCAUACGCCGUUCGGGUGAAAGCAGGGGAUCUUUGGACCUUGUGCGAUUGAAUGAGCCGAUGUCGGAUUAGCUAGUUGGCGGGGUACAGGCCCACCAAGGCGACGAUCCGUAGCUGGUCUGAGAGGAGGAUCAGCCACACUGGAACUGAGACACGGUCCAGACUCCUACGGGAGGCAGCAGUGGGGAAUAUUGGACAAUGGGCGCAAGCCUGAUCCAGCCAUACCGCGUGGGUGAAGAAGGCCUUCGGGUUGUAAAGCCCUUUUGUUGGGAAAGAAAAGCAGCAGGUUAAGACCCCGCUGUUCUGACGGUACCCAAAGAAUAAGCACCGGCUAACUUCGUG